rnacentral:rRNA from 1 species
GACGAACGCUGGCGGCGUGCUUAACACAUGCAAGUCGGACGAUGAAGCCUAGCUUGCUAGGUGGAUUAGUGGCGAACGGGUGAGUAAUACGUGAGUGACCUACCUUUGACUCUGGGAUAAGCCUGGGAAACUGGGUCUAAUACCGGAUACGACCAAUCUCCGCAUGGGGUGUUGGUGGAAAGCGUUAUGGAGUGGUUUUAGAUGGGCUCACGGCCUAUCAACUUGUUGGUGAGGUAAUGGCUUACCAAGGCGACGACGGGUAGCCGGCCUGAGAGGGUGACCGGCCACACUGGGACUGAGACACGGCCCAGACUCCUACGGGAGGCAGCAGUGGGGAAUAUUGCACAAUGGGCGCAAGCCUGAUGCAGCGACGCCGCGUGAGGGAUGACGGCCUUCGGGUUGUAAACCUCUGUUAGCAUCGAGGAAGCGAAAGUGACGGUAGGUGCAAAAAAAGC